rnacentral:rRNA from 1 species
CCUACGGGAGGCAGCAGUGAGGAAUAUUGGUCAAUGGACGAGAGUCUGAACCAGCCAAGUAGCGUGAAGGAUGACUGCCCUAGGGGUGGUAAACAUCUUUUAUAUGGGAAUAAAACGUUCCAUGUGUGGGAUUUUGUAUGUACCAUAUGAAUAAGGAUCGGCUAACGCCGUGCCAGCAGCCGCGGUAAUACGGAGGAUCCGAGCGUUAUCCGGAUUUAUUGGGUUUAAAGGGAACGUAGGUGGAUUGUUAAGUCAGUUGUGAAAGUUUGCGGCUCAACCGUAGAAUUGCAGUUGAAACUGGCAGGCUAGAGUACAGUAGAGGGGGGCGGAAUUCGUGGUGUAGCGGUGAAAUGCUUAGAUAUCACGAAGAACUCCGAUGGCGAAGGCGGUUCACUGGACUGCAACUGACACUGAGGCUCGAAAGUGUGGGUAUCAAACAGGAUUAGAUACCCCUGUAGUC